AGUGACGCAAUCGCCCUUCUUCCCGUGUCGACGUCAUCAUCAUCCCUCCUUCCUUAGAAACGCUGGAGAAGACACAAGCACAAGAUGGGUUUGCUGUCGAUUUUGCGAAAGCUGAAAAGUACUCCGGACCAGGAGGUUCGCAUUUUGCUUCUUGGAUUGGACAACGGUGGUAAAACCACCCUGCUUAAACAGCUGGCAUCUGAAGAUAUCAGUCACAUUACUCCAACACAGGGGUUCAACAUCAAGAGUGUGCAGUCUCAGGGUUUCAAACUGAAUGUGUGGGACAUCGGUGGACAGCGCAAGAUUAGGCCCUACUGGAGAAACUACUUUGAAAAUACGGAUCUUCUAAUUUACGUCAUCGACAGUGCAGAUCGCAAGAGAUUUGAAGAAACAGGACAGGAGCUGGCUGAGUUGUUAGAUGAGGAGAAGCUCAGUGGGGUCCCGGUUCUCAUCUUUGCAAACAAGCAGGACCUGCUUACUGCAGCUCCUGCAUCUGAAAUUGCUGAGGGACUGAAUCUGCACACCAUACGGGACAGAGUGUGGCAGAUCCAGUCCUGUUCAGCUCUCACUGGAGAGGGUGUGCAGGAUGGAAUGAACUGGGUCUGUAAGAGCGUGAAUGCCAAGAGGAAGUAGAGCUGCAUAUUCCCACUGCAGUCCCUCCAGGGAAUCCAGUGUGUACCUCUGAAUAACCACAAGCCUUGCUUCACAGUAGGUUAUGUUUGUGACUGAUGUUUCUAUGACAUGAAGUUCUUGUUGCUCCAUCUUUUGAUGUAUUAUUUUUGACUAUAUUGUUCUUUUUCUGAGUAUAUUUUUGUAACGGAGUGUAGGAUGCUUUAAUAUCGCUUUGUGUUUCAUAGAAUGCCAGAGAAGGUUGUGUGUCCAAACUCAAUAGGAAAAGGAAUAUGUAAACAGGUCAGAAUAUGAAGUUCUUAUAUAAUAAAAUGGAGGCCAGCAAAAUAUUUUCUGCAAACACUGUGGAAGGUGUAUUGCAAACAUUAUAUAAAGCAGUUAUUGUAAGUAACAGCUUCAUUAGAAAGUUGGCAAUUUGAGAUUAAACAUUUUUCCUUUUUUCUUUGAAUCUGUUGCUGUUGUAUGACUGAAGCUACGCAAAGUAAACAUUAAAAAAAAAACGAGG